rnacentral:rRNA from 1 species
AUUGAACGCUGGCGGCAUGCCUUACACAUGCAAGUCGAACGGUAACAGGUCUUCGGAUGCUGACGAGUGGCGAACGGGUGAGUAAUACAUCGGAACGUGCCCGAUCGUGGGGGAUAACGAAGCGAAAGCUUUGCUAAUACCGCAUACGAUCUACGGAUGAAAGCAGGGGACCGCAAGGCCUUGCGCGAACGGAGCGGCCGAUGGCAGAUUAGGUAGUUGGUGGGAUAAAAGCUUACCAAGCCGACGAUCUGUAGCUGGUCUGAGAGGACGACCAGCCACACUGGGACUGAGACACGGCCCAGACUCCUGCGGGAGGCAGCAGUGGGGAAAUUUGGACAAUGGGCGAAAGCCUGAUCCAGCCAUGCCGCGUGCAGGAUGAAGGCCUUCGGGUUGUAAACUGCUUUUGUACGGAACGAAAAGACUCUGGUUAAUACCUGGGGUCCAUGACGGUACCGUAAGAAUAAGCACCGGCUAACUACGUGCCAGCCGCCGCAGUAAGAC